CAGGGUCCGCGCUCCCCCCGUGCUCUGGGUGAUCUGAGCGAGCGCCCGUGGUCCUCCGGGCCGGUCCUCCAGGCAGUUGGAGCCGAGCGCCUGUGGUCCUCCGGGCCAGUCCUCCAGGCGGUUGGAGCGUGUGCGGGAACAAGAUGAAGAUGAACCGGCGCUGAGACCCCGGAACCCUGGAGCCGUUGCUGUGGACAGACAGACGGGGACGUGACCGGCGAUUGAGGGCUGCCAGGGUGCCUGUGAGCCCCCCACCCCCCAUCUAUUCAGUGUGCGGGCUGAGCUUCGAGGGGCUGAGCUUCAAUGGAGGACCACAUUACGGGGCACAACAAGGAG